UAAACGGGCGACUAGGGUUCCGGUUUGUUACUAAAACAAAUGCCUGGUCCGAGAGUUGCCAACCUAGCUGCACAACUUCCUAAAGCAAUGUUGCUUGUGGUUUUAGUGUUUGCGUCAGCAAGGGUUACACGGCGGGAUAAAAGCCCGGGAGGU
rnacentral:sRNA from 2 species